UACGUAGGGCGCAAGCGUUAUCCGGAAUUAUUGGGCGUAAAGAGCUCGUAGGCGGUUUGUCGCGUCUGCCGUGAAAGUCCGGGGCUCAACUCCGGAUCUGCGGUGGGUACGGGCAGGCUAGAGUCAGGUAGGGGAGAACGGAAUUCCUGGUGUAGCGGUGAAAUGCGCAGAUAUCAGGAGGAACACCGGUGGCGAAGGCGGUUCUCUGGGCCUGUACUGACGCUGAGGAACGAAAGCGUGGGGAGCGAACAGG
rnacentral:rRNA from 1 species